AACGAACGCUGGCGGCAGGCUUAACACACGCAAGUCGAGCGAGACCUUCGGGUCUAGCGGCGGACGGGUGAGUAACGCGUGGGAACGUGCCCUUCUCUACGGAAUAGCCCCGGGAAACUGGGAGUAAUACCGUAUACGCCCUUUGGGGGAAAGAUUUAUCGGAGAAGGAUCGGCCCGCGUUGGAUUAGGUAGUUGGUGGGGUAAUGGCCCACCAAGCCGACGAUCCAUAGCUGGUUUGAGAGGAUGAUCAGCCACACUGGGACUGAGACACGGCCCAGACUCCUACGGGAAGCAGCAGUGGGGAAUCUUAGACAAUGGGGGCAACCCUGAUCUAGCCAUGCCGCGUGAGUGAUGAAGGCCUUAGGGUUGUAAAGCUCUUUCAGCUGGGAAGAUAAUGACGGUACCAGCAGAAGAAGCCCCGGCUAACUCCGUG
rnacentral:rRNA from 1 species